AUUGUGGAAUUCUGCCCAGGUCAUUAAAUGUGAUCUUUAAGAGUAUAGAAGGCAGAAUUUAUCCUCAAAAUAGCAUUAAGCCUCACAGAUGUGUCGACUUUAUGAAACUCACUGAAGAGCAGCAAGAUGACGAAGCUACAUAUAAGAGAAACCUUCUUCGACGAUUUAAAGAUAUUGACCCCCGGAAAACUCUGUCUAGCAUGUCCAGCUCCAGCUGUUCAUUAUUUGAAAGCUCCACCUUUAGUGACACAAAUAGGGACAGUGUCUGUUUGGAUGACACCUCUCGUGUUAAAUUCUCUGUGUGGGUCUCCUUUUG